rnacentral:lncRNA from 1 species
GCGCCCAACCCAGCGGGCACAGGCAGAAGAUGGCGCGCUGCAUGUCCUCGUAGUACGUCGACGGGUGCUCCGUCGAGAUGUCGAACAGCGGGUUGUCCUUGAAGUUCUCCCACACCGACGCGCGCGCGCCCCUGCAUCAUCAGGUAAGGCCAUGGUCAAUCACGUUAUCUACAAGCAGCUUAACUAUUUGCAUCAAUGUUGGAACGGCAAGAAAUUAAGCAUGAAAAAACGUGGAUUACCUGGCGUAGUAGCCGCCCUCGGGGUCGUUGCCCAUGUCGUAGAAGAGGCCGCGGAAGUAGACGAAGAUGGAGCGCGGCGUGCCGGGGUUGAUCAGGUGCGCCUGCAUCUUGUGCGGGUUGGCGUAGGGCGGGAUGGUGAUGGACCCGUCCUGCAGGCACACGUGGUUCCGCUGCCCGAACGUCUGCACCAGCGUCGCGCGCCGGAGCAGCGGCAGGAUGCCCCUCUCCAUCGCCCUCUCCUCCUGAAACCACAAGCCAAGUGCCAAUCAGUUCACUAUUUCUUUUCAGCUCUGCAGCCUGUCUCCGGCAACGCACACACACCUGGUAGUGGAAGCAUGCGCCGAAGUCGUGGGGCGUGAGGAAGAAGUGGUCGGCGCCCUCGGUCCUGUUCCAGUAGGGCCACGUCG